UACAGAGGUCUCAAGCGUUGUUCGGAUUCAUUGGGCGUAAAGGGUGCGUAGGUGGCGCCAUAAGUCGGGUGUGAAAUUUCGGAGCUUAACUCCGAAACUGCAUUCGAUACUGUGGUGCUUGAGAACUGGAGAGGAGACUGGAAUUUACGGUGUAGCAGUGAAAUGCGUAGAGAUCGUAAGGAAGACCAGUGGCGAAGGCGGGUCUCUGGACAGUUCCUGACGCUGAGGCACGAAGGCCAGGGGAGCAAACGGG
rnacentral:rRNA from 1 species